rnacentral:tRNA from 11 species
GCGGAAAUGGCGAAAUUGGUAGACGCACUGGAUUUAGGUUCCAGCGCCGCGAGGCGUGAGAGUUCGAGUCUCUCUUUCCGCACCA